ensembl:lncRNA
GGAGAACUGAAAACAAAGGGAGUCCUAACCAGCAUUAAUAUGGUGUUGUGGCUGGUAUGUGUAUAAGGCUGCAUUCAUUUUCCACAUUUGUGCCAUGAUUUCACUCUGAUAUGCAAAAUAAGCAAGUUAAUUGAAUUGCUUGCCAUCUCUCUCUCACACACAUACAGACUCAAUAGGGAAUUUUUAAUAUUUAGUAAGUAACAAUAGUAGUUAAUUAUAUAGCCCAAGGCAUAGCUUGUGUAAGUGUAUAUUAUAAGGUCGAUUUCUGGACACAGGUCGUUUGUACUUUUCAACCAAAAUGCUCUCUAACAAGGGGUUACAUUACACUUAUUUUAUAGUUUGCUUUGGCUAUUAAUUUAAUUGUGUUGAGGUUUCUAGUAGGAAGUGUAUUAAAGGAUAUCAUGCAGUUCCUAUUGUGGUGCAGGUCACUCUGUGUCUUACAUUUAUGUUGGCAUAAUUCUUGCAUCCUUCCUGAAUUAGUCUGACUUGUAUCUGCUCUGAAUAAUAAAUAUCAAGGCAGUGUGUGUUUGUUAUUCCUUUCUCUAGUCGACAGAGACAGAACAGUGGUGAACUUGCUGGGUGGGCGGUUGUGUCGACAUGACCUUUAUAUUCUUGGACUGUAAACAGUUCAACAGUUAAAGUGCAAAAAAUUCCAACAGCAACAGCAAAUAACACGUCCUCAAAUAAGUAAGGAAUAAAACAUGACCUGGCGUGUUGUUAUGGGAAAUUAAUCAAAUGAAAUGAAAAGGUGUGAUUCCAUUACCACCCUGAAGUUGAUUAGUUUCCAAUAACAGCACAUCCUGAAGUGUUUUAUUCUGUGUAUACCACAGCAAUGUGUCAACAAUUCAUUUUUAUUUAUUUAUUAAAGAGCCAGUUUCUUUUUUUUCCUACUUGCAUGAAGUUAAUAAGACAAAAAAGAACAUGGUUGUCAUGUUAACAAGAAGCCUCAAAAUGCAACUCAAAUCAUCUUUCCUGAAGAUUCUUUCAUGUUGAAAACGUCACAGCUUUAUCUUUGACUAAUAGAAAGCGCUGACACUGGAGACUCCUUCCAAAAAAUGUUAAAUGAACAUCUCCUCAUAGAAAAGUUCACCAUAUCAACAAUUACACCAGUUUUUGUUACCACCCCCAUACAAGCCCCUGUGAAUAUGUUGUUGCUAUAGAAACGAUAACCUUAGAAUAUGCACAUUAAUAUAAACCUAUGAUUUGUAUUAUAGUUAGUACUACAGUCAGAGCUGUUGUUACUGAAAAUGAUUCAACACUUUCUGACCAAUCAGAAUUGAGAAUUCACCCGCACUGUUGCGCAACCUGAAAUAACUAAUACAUUUGUAAAAUAACCCGGAAUAAGCUGUUUUUGCUCCUGGUUUCAUCAUUUGUAAUGAUGUAAUACUUCUUAUAAACUAACUCAGUGAAGCUGCUGGGAACCUCAGAAUUGUUUUUAGUACAUUAGAAGAAACUCAUGUUCAUAAAUCAUCAAUGAUCAUACUUCAAAUAAUUCUGCAUAUUAUAUCCUAAACAAACAACAGCAGAGAAUUUAUGAAAAAUAACUGACACAUGCUAUUAAAAAACAAAAACAAUGGCUGUUUUAUGAUUAAAAAAUAGAAUUAUUCACGUUUUAGCUCUCAUAUAAUGCAGAAUACAAAACCAGCCAACAUCAUGAUAAAUAACCUUUCCUUUAAUAUUAUCUAGUUGUGGAUUUUAUUUUAGUCAUGUGUGCAACAUUUAUGCGUGACGCUGACAUUCCUUUAGGCCUUAGAUGUAUGUGCCAUUGUCAACAGUUUCCUUAUUAACUGAAGAGUUUGAAGAUUUUUUCUGAAGAGUUUGUGUAUGUGUGGAGGAACAGAGUUAAAUUUCCUGAGCUGGCACUGACAGCAAACCUAAGAUUGUGUAUAAGUAGGGCCUCUCUAUAAUAAAUCCACAGAGUGGAGUUUUUUACGAGACACAGAAACCCGAGUCAAGACUCCAGACUUUCCCACGGGCAGCCGCAUUCCUCAUAACAUGAGGAUGAUAUGAUGGAAGGGACGCGGGCACUAAAUGGACAUUGUGAAAUGUUAAAUCAAAUGAAAAUCAGUUGAUGUAGAUUGAAGAACCAUAGCAGAGUUGCAAAUGCUGCUUCACUAAUAGCUCCAUGUGUCUGUAAUGCUGUGUGCUGGCUGCAUUGCUAGUCAUGUUCUGAAAAGAGCUGCAAGGUCAUGUAGUUU